rnacentral:rRNA from 1 species
UUGGAGGGCAAGUCUGGUGCCAGCAGCCGCGGUAAUUCCAGCUCCAAUAGCGUAUAUUAAAGUUGUUGCAGCUAAAAAGCUCGUAGUUGAAUUUCGGGGUUAGUAGGUUGGUCGUGCCUCAGGUAUGUACUGAUCUCACUGAUUCCUCCUUCCUGAUGAACCGUAAUGCCAUUAAUUUGGUGUUGCGGGGAAACUGGACUGUUACUUUGAAAAAAUUAGAGUGUUUAAAGCAGGCUAACGCUUGAAUACAUUAGCAUGGAAUAAUGAAAUAGGACGUUCGAUCCUAUUUUGUUGGUUUCUAGGAUUGACGUAAUGAUUAAUAGGGAUAGUUGGGGGCAUUAGUAUUCAAUUGUCAGAGGUGAAAUUCUUGGAUUUAUUGAAGACUAACUACUGCGAAAGCAUUUGCCAAGGAUGUUUUCAUUAAUCAAGAACGAAAGUUAGGGGAUCGAAGACGAUCAGAUACCGUCGUAGUCUUAACCAUAAACUAUGCCGACUGGGGAUCGGACGAUGUUAACUUUUCUUGACUCGUUCGGCGCCUUACGGGAAA